rnacentral:lncRNA from 1 species
GGGUCCUACUAAAAUGCGCCCGGGAGCGCCCGGGUGAAGAAAAAGCGCCCGGAGAAGAAAAUAUAGCGCCCGGGGAACAGAAAAAGCGCCCGGGGAAAAUAUAUUUAUAUUUUAUUGGCAUGAGACACCUUUGAUCAGUUAUGAAAAUUGAUUUUUUUAAAUUUUAAUUAGGCAAGUAAUUUGCCAAUUCAGAUAAUAUAUACGUUUGUAAUAAAGCACAAAAACAAGUAUGAAUAUUUCAAUUUUAACAAAAAUAUAUGAAUACUAUUUCGAAAGACUGAUAAUAAUGGAUGACAGUUUAUGCGGAAGAUUUAUAACAUGUAAGACAUCAAAAGACAUGUUUUUUCAAAAACGAUAUGUAGCGUAGUUAAAACAAGGGGAUAAAAAGCAGAAGUUUGGUUUAAAUUUAAGUCUAAGCAUUAAAACCCUGAUAACCAUAGC